UUGCCCUACGGGAGGCAGCAGUGAGGAAUAUUGGUCAAUGGGCGAGAGCCUGAACCAGCCAAGUCGCGUGAGGGAAGACGGUCCUAUGGAUUGUAAACCUCUUUUGCCGGGGAGCAAAAAGCGGUACGCGUACCGCAUCGAGAGCACCCGGAGAAAAAGCAUCGGCUAACUCCGUGCCAGCAGCCGCGGUAAUACGGAGGAUGCGAGCGUUAUCCGGAUUUAUUGGGUUUAAAGGGUGCGCAGGCGGAAGCGCAAGUCAGCGGUAAAAUUGAGAGGCUCAACCUCUUCCCGCCGUUG
rnacentral:rRNA from 1 species